UCCUGGACCGUUGGUCUCUUCUGCAGCUCCGGAGCCAAGUUCAGUGCGCCUUGCUGCUUCUGCAAACACUGGCAAGAUGGAAGCGGUCCAGAACUCGAGAGAAACACAAGCUUGUUGCUACUCAACCUCAGGCGCUGAGAAACCAUGUUCGACAGGGGCUGUUUGCGAGCUCUAACCACAACGAAUGGGUUCCACUUAGAGAAAGGUGUUUUUACACCACUGCUUUAUCCCCACACACAUUUGUAGACGGCAAGUGUUGGUUUGGCGCUGACCCCAACCCAGAGGCUCAGGUGUUCGAAGGCUUGGUCCCCAGCUCAUUCAGUCAUUGAGAAGGGAAAGGGACCUGAGACUCUAACUCAGUCACUGGAUUAACCCACUGAUGGAGUGAUGGAGUUCUUUGGAGGUGACGCAAUCCUGUGGGGUGGGGUCUACGCAGAAGUAGAUCACUGGGGACUCGUCCUUGGCACUAUUUCUUGUUCUGGACCCUUCUUUGUCCCACUUCCUGGUAGUCAUGAAGUCAAAAGCGCUGCUCCCCACACCCUUCCACCAUGACGCUUGGCCUCCUCAGAGCCCAGAAACAAUGUUGCCAACAGACUGAGGACUGAAACCUCUAAACAGUGAACCAAGUUAAGUCCUUCCGGAGUUCCUCAAGCUAUUUGCUCAAACUGUUUGUCACAGAGACGAAAGUCCGAAUGACAGCAGCAAGUGAUUUUUUCCCUUCAAUGAAUUAAUUUUAAUAACUCGCUCUUAGCUUUUUCAAGACUGCAAUAUGUAUGACGUGAGAUGUGUUUCUUCCUAGUAACGCCGGGGCUGGAGAACCAAGUUUGCCGCCUGAGGAUCUCGUCUUAAAGUUGGGAAUUCACUGUUACAUUGAAUAUGAUUUAUUUAAGGCUUAAGUUUGUUCCUGGCUGGCAAAGUGUGGCUUCCUGACUUAGAAAAAUUCUCUGGAAAAAAAAAAAUCUCCCCCUAAAAUGGCAGUCUGCAACAUUUUAAUGACCUCAUUGUAAGUGAAUUAGAAACAUUCAAAUGCAAUUUACUUUAAAAUAGAUCUGGGUGUUAAAAUAAGGGACAGCUGGCAGUUGGGAUUCUUCUGACUUCAACCAACGAGGUAUUUGCCCCAGUCAUUUAGAACACAUAAAA